GGCCCAAAUUUGAAAUAGAGUGGAUUAGGAGGGUCAUCUGACCCUACUAGGCUACACUGUUUCGAGUUUGUACCC
rnacentral:pre_miRNA from 1 species